rnacentral:lncRNA from 1 species
UUUCUAACAUUUACUUAAAAACAAAAUUCUUGUAUUCUUCAUGUAGGGUCAGUAUUCAAUUACACAAAAAUAGGCAGCCAACUUAAGAACUGUAUAUAAGAUUAAGACAACUGGUAUUUCAUGGUAAAUGAUUAAAUUAGCUAACACAGUUAUAUCCUGAACUUUGCCAUUAGGACUGACAUUUUUGUUCGAUGUGCAUUGAGGAUUGUGGGUAAUCUAAACUGGUAUGAGCUUUUUCUCUUUGAAACUCAAACAGAAUUAAGGAACAGUAUUCUCUGCAAAUGGAAUACGGAGUUUGAGAACAGCCACAAAAAAAUUCUCUUGUAGUAAGCUGAACCGCCCUAGGAGUACUCAGGAAUUAGAGGACUCAGGAAUUAGAGAAUUACAGAACUGGAGAAAUGAGGGGCAUGGAUAGGAGGGAGAGAAAAAUUGAUUAAUUGAUUUACUAUAAUUUUCAAAUGGAAGUAUGUGGGAAAAUAAGACAAAACAAGCAGAGUUGUUUUUCACAGUGAAGCCUCAGAGGGGUGAAAGCUUUGUUCCUCUGGGUAGCAAGUUCUAUUUCCACACUUCCGACUGCAUAUUCCAUAUUUAUGCUGAUUUUUGGUCUCUCGGUUCGUAGCUUGCUAGGUGGCAAGGGCAGUUAGAGAAAAAAAAGGCAGAUUUAUGAAACACAGAAAAAUUUCUCACUGAAAUCAGGCUUGGAUUUGUGAAUCACUUGUUUUUUUUCCCUGUGGUCACUCCUGAUGAGGUCAACUGCUUCAAUCCUUUAGGUUUUGUAGAGGGGUUUCCGGAUUCCAGGAGUCCCAGAAGGUCCGGGGAGCACUCCCCACAUUUUAGCCAGAAGUAAUUAACUAAAACAUAAAGGCUCCACUUUCUCUUUUCACAUUUUGAGCCACAGAUCAUCUAAUUCCAAGCUUAAGACAUCAGAUUUCAGAUCAUUAGUGCAAAGCAUCUUCCACAGGAGGCAAUAAAAUGUCACUUUAUAUAACUCGGCUACAGUUACACUGCUUUCAGAAAGCAGGAAUCUCUCUGAAAAGAAAUUUACAUGAAAACAGUCGCAUUGUUUGAGAAUUUAUGCAAAUGUUGCACAAAGGAGUUUGACAGUGAUUUUAAAAACUUAAAUCUUUAUCACUGCCUCAAAGAUAUCCUGAAAAACUUAGUUACCUCUAAAGAAUUCCAUUGCACUUAUUUUUUAAAUGUCUAUAAUAUAGAGUUGUUUUAAAAAUUUUCCCUAAACUCCAAACUUCUUCCUCAGCUUCAAAGCCUUCUAUAAUGAAUAUCCUACAGAGAACCUAGUGCAUAUUGGUUUAGCACUUACUAGGAUCACUCAUUACUAGUUAAGAAAAUUGAAGAUAACAACCAUAGCGCCAAGUAUUUUGAACAACAUAAAAUGUUUCUGCCGUGGGUGUAGCUCUUAGGGACCGCAUGGGGAUAUGUACCCCUCAGUGCUCAAUCAGCACAAGAUGAAGCUCUAAGUGUCUCAAUCCAUGUUGAUUGCCUCUGAACUCCCCGGUGUUAGGAAUCUGGAUGUGUCCAUUACUGCAUUUUCAAACAAUGAACUGCCUGCGCCAGGAAUCUGAUUUCUGUAGAAAGACAUUAAGGGGCUGGGUGAGGAAUAGGGUGUCAACAAAACGUGGUAUUUUCCUUUGAUUUUCACUUUCUUUAAAUUCUUCUGCAUUUACUACCUAGCGACUGUCUGGCAUUGGUACCCUCAGUUUCUUUUCUUCUGCUUUUCCUCCUUAUUCAGUGUGGAAGAUGAUCAAAGUAUGACGUUUCUUCUACCCCAGAGGUUGGCAUUUCUGCAGGCACAAAUGAGCUUGGUUUUCAAGCACCAGUCUUUGAGCACAAGGAAUUCCUUUAAUGAUCACGGGCUAGAUAGACUUUGGAAUCAGACUCUUUGAAUUCCAGCUCUGCCAUUUACCAACUUUGACACUUUGGAUAGGGUCUCAUUCUGUCAGCCAGGCUGGAGUGCAGUGGCACUAUUAUAGCUCACUGCAGCCUCAAAUGCCUGGGCUCAGGCAGUCUUCCCACCUCUGCCUCCUGAGUAGUUGGGACUACAGGCAUGUGCCACCAAGCCCAGCCAAUUUUUCAGUUUUAAAUUUUUUGUAGAGAUGGGGGUCUUGCUAUGUCACCCAGGCUGGUCUUGAACACCUGGCCUCAAGUGAUCCUCCGGCCUCGCUCUCUCAAAGCUCUGGGAUUACAGACAUGAGCCACUGCACCUGGCUCUGUCUCCCCUUCCUAUGUGUGUUGGCUCUAGAACAAGAGAAGCCUUGUUGAGAUUCAUGGCUGCCCCUUGCACCCCAUCACCUCUCUGACUUUGGGCAAGUUGCCUGGUCUCUCUCAGCCUUUAUUUUCUUUUUGUGAAAUGGGGAUAAUAAUAGUACUUGCCUCAUAGGCAAAAUGUUGUGAGAACUAAAUGAGAAAAUACAUGUAAAGCUCUUGGCACUUAGGUCUUUUUAUGAUUAUGAUGAUAAUCACACAUAAUAAAUUAUUUCUCACAUC